rnacentral:rRNA from 1 species
UACUGCAUUUUUUCUUACACAUGUGUUUUUCUUUUUUUGAAAACUUUGCUUUGGUAGGCUUCAUAUGGGGCCUGCCAGAGAUUAAACUCAACCAAAUUUUAUUUAAUGUCAACCGAUUAUUUAAUAGUCAAAACUUUCAACAACGGAUCUCUUGGUUCUCGCAUCGAUGAAGAACGCAGCGAAAUGCGAUAAGUAAUAUGAAUUGCAGAUAUUCGUGAAUCAUCGAAUCUUUGAACGCACAUUGCGCCCUUUGGUAUUCCAAAGGGCAUGCCUGUUUGAGCGUCAUUUCUCCCUCAAACCCUCGGGUUUGGUGUUGAGCGAUACGCUGGGUUUGCUUGAAAGAAAGGCGGAGUAUAAACUAAUGGAUAGGUUUUUUCCACUCAUUGGUACAAACUCCAAAACUUCUUCCAAAUUCGACCUCAAAUCAGGUAGGACUACCCGCUGAACUUAAGCAUAUCAAUAAGCGGAGG